UAGGGAAUCUUCCGCAAUGGACGAAAGUCUGACGGAGCAACGCCGCGUGAGUGAAGAAGGAUUUCGGUUCGUAAAACUCUGUUGUUAGGGAAGAAAAAAUGUAUAGUAACUAUAUACAAAAGAGACGGUACCUAACCAGAAAGCCACGGCUAACUACGUGCCAGCAGCCGCGGUAAUACGUAGGUGGCAAGCGUUGUCCGGAAUUAUUGGGCGUAAAGCGCGCGCAGGUGGUUUAGAAAGUCUGAUGUGAAAGCCCACGGCUCAACCGUUGAGGGUCAUUGGAAACUAAUAAACUUGAGUGCAGGAGAGAAAAGUGGAAUUCCUAGUGUAGCGGUGAAAUGCGUAGAGAUUAGGAGGAACACCGGUGGCGAAAGCGGCUUUUUGGCCUACAACUGACACUGAGGCGCGAAAGCGUGGGGAGCAAACAGG
rnacentral:rRNA from 1 species